rnacentral:snRNA from 1 species
GGACGUCGGGAGAUCUGGCUGCGGCAUUCAUCUCCAGGGUUGAUUUGACUGAUCUGGCUGGCUACGGAGGGCGUCCGCUUCCUCCCUCACACUUCAUGUGCAUCCCUCUGAAGCUGCAUGCUUGACGACCUCCUCCAAAUAAAGGGGAACAGCUGGACGGCCUUCCCCAUGUCGAGGAGGGGCAGUCUUCGGUCAAGGGUCCACGAGUAGCUGUGCUCCCUUGCUAGAACCUCCAAACAAGCUCUCGAAAGUCAAGUACAUGGGUGGGCUUGGUUAAAGGCACCCCAACAAGGAUGAU